rnacentral:lncRNA from 1 species
AAUCAACACAGUGGAGGCGAGAAGUCUGGCCUUGCGCCGGCCGGGGAGCUUUUCGCCAAGGCUCCUGUGGGAUGGGAUAGCUUGUUCUCUGGGCUGCAGGAACCAAAACAUUAGACCACCCUUUCUGUGACCUUGGGCAUGCCGCCCUCGGUUCCGAGCCGCAAGUCUUUCUUUCGGGGAAAAUGAAAAGGGGUCAAGAUUUGGACCAGAUGACACCCAAUGUCCCAUUCAACGGUCGCAUUCUGUCAUCCACAGGAAUUAGUCCUGUAUCCGAAACAUUCUCUGGAGCCUGGAGACAGAUGGAGGGGAAGACAGAAGAGAGAUUAAGGAGAAGAAUGGUUUCAUUUGGAAGGACACUGACUAAGGAAAAACAGAGAAAAGGAUGAAACCCAAGCCAACUCUGCAACUCUAUUAAAAACACCAAGACUUCAAUAUGAACCUGGCAUGGUGGGCACAGUCGGGCACUGCAGGCGGCUUGCCUCCAGCAGAAGGAAUACUGCUACUCAGCUCUAGAUGAUUGCCCUGAAGAAAUUCAUGCCCACUGAAUCUCCUUAAAGGGAGGCAGUGCAUUCUUCAUGGCUAGAGCUUCAGCAGCUAUCUAGAACCAUAUGGUGGAAGCCACUUACUGAGAACUGUGAAACAAGAGCCUGGGUCCCUGACAUAUGAAGCCACCAUACCUACCUUAAAGUGUCUUUCACUUGAGGGAAAAAUACAUCUUUCUUAGAGAUUUGAAUUUUAAUGUCCCAGAAAUAUAAAGAAGAUGGCAUUAAAAUGUCCUAUAUGUUGGCAGUCCUACCCUGAAGACUUUUUUUGCUUAUCUUUUGUUCUGAGCUACAGUCUUCGCAGAGACUAAAUUAGUGACUGGACAACAGAAGAAAAUAGACCAUCCUGGCUAAAAUGGUGAAACCCCAUCUCUACUAAAAACACAAAAAAUUAGCUGGGCAUGUUAGCGGGUGCCUGUAGUCCCAGCUACUCGGGAGGCUGAGGCAAGAAAAUGGCGUGAACCUGGGAGGCGGAGCUUGCAGUGAGCUGAGAUCGCGCCACUGCACUCCAGCAUGGGGGAUAGAGCGAGACUCCGUCUCAAAAAAAAAAAAAAAAAAAAAAAAAAGAAAAUAGAAACGGGAAAUAUUCAUGUCAGCUGUUAAAAACCAGUUUUGUAAAGCAAGGCCUAAAAGUCCUAUCUCUGGCAUGUUUAGUAUGGAACGUAUAGUUGAUUGUCAUUCAGCUACUAGAGAAAGGUAUUCUACAAUGGCAGAUAGCCUUAUCAAAACAAUUAGCCGGCUUUCUCCACAGGGAAUAGCAGUGGGGUAAGUAAGACUGAAGUGAGAGCUCUUAUCAGUUUUCUCAGAAAUGAUUUCUCCAUCAUAGGUAUUUGGCCAACUGGUUAGGUCUAGCAUGAACAUGUGAUUUCUAAAACAAUGAGCUGAGAUCUGCUAACAUGUUGUAAAGGAGCAUCUAGUAGAAGCUGAUCUCUAAGCAAAAUCACCAAUUUAUUUAAGUUUCAAAAAUUUUUUUUCCAUAAAUAUGUUCUUUAACAUGCACAUUCUGCUUACAUUGUUUAGGGUGCUUUUUAUUGUGCCUAAAAAUUUGCAAUAUGGUGAAAUAAAAUAUUUAAAAAUGGUUGAAUACCAUACGGAAGAUGAAAUCUCAUAUUUAUAGCAUGUAAUUCAAUUCUCAUGUAUGCAUAAUUAAUCAAAAUUGUGUCUUUAAAUGACAUCUUGACAUUUUUUGAAUUGCACUAAGAAACACUAGUGUCUACCAUUCAUUUUAACAGACUUAUUUAUGUUUAGCUUUAUUAACAGUAUAACAUUUUCAUGCAAUCUUAAAUUUUGUUUUAAUUUUUACAAUGUUUGAUUUAAUUCAAAUUAACAAAUAUUCAAGCCUACAUGAGAGACAAAUGAAAUGAGACUACCUUUAUAUAUAAUCAGCAAAAUUCUUUUUAAGAGUAAAAAGUUAAUAUUGGGAUUUAAAAACCUAAAUUUCCAAUGUUACUGCUGACAAUCCAAUCCAACUAUAUGUAUAUUACUUAGGCCACAGGACUGCCCAUUAGUCUUUCUUGUCGGAGAGCAAUUAAUCUCUUGAACCAUUUUUCCUCAGCAUCAGCUUUCUCGAUAAAUAACUGAAAUAAGAAAAGAAAAAGAAAAAAUGUUACUGUCUCCCAAUAACUUGAAUUUGACCUAAAAUGACAGAACUCACCUUUGUAGAAUAUAUCUCUCAACACAAGAUUUGGAUACUGUUUAACUCUUGAUGACCUCUUAAUUGAUGACUAUCUAUUUGGAAUUAGUAAUGCUCAGAAAUUCUUGGAGUAAAAGAACUACUAGUAUCAACAUCAUUGCUUAACAAUUUUGUACCUUAUAUUUGUGAAGUUUAUUUCCUAUAACUUUUCCAAAACAGCAGAAUUACAACAUUUCAUGGAAGACAGCAAAGUAUGAUGUUAGUGAUGUGCUCACUGAUAAUGAACAAAGUAGAGCUCAGAAAUGGAACUUUUAGUGCUAGAUUUUUAAACAAACACUUCUCAUGGUGCUGAUCAAUUCAGCUAAAAAAAAAAAAAAGGAAAAAAUGCUUCUCUUUGUCUAUUUUUCUUAACCAUAGACAGAAUACUUCUACAGGUUAGGCAACAUGAGUUGGACCCUACUGUAUUCAAAUAUAGAUAACAGUUCUAAAGGCCUGGGGGCCAGAUGCCUAUUUUUAGCAAGGGAAUAUGAACCUGUUUCCUCCAAUGGUCUCCUUGGUGUUAGCACAAAAGGAUAACAGAUUGAAAUAAUUUCAGUAAAUUAGACUUCAACUGACAUUCGUAAAGUUUAAGGAUAUUACAUUUGGAUGGGCCAGGGAAUUGUCAUCUUGGUACUUGAUAGCAGUAGGGAUGCUGGUAGGAUCUAUUUCUUUUUCAGUACUGGGUGGAUCAGCAACUGCUGAUGCUGGUCCUGAUGUUGAAGUUGCUUGUUUCACUUCACUAGGUUCCACUGACUGAAAGAAACAACACAUAUUAAUUUCAACACAAUACACAAUUAGAGUUUUACUUCAAAAAUAUUUCUGAUUUUGAAUAACAACUGUUCAAUUAGUCUCCUUUGAGAUGAUACCCAUCUCCAAAAAGGCCCUACUUUUUGUAUUUGUUUGUUUUAGAAAUACAGUUAUUUUAUUUUUAUAUUUGUUUGUUUAGGAAUAACUAUAUUUAGGAAUAUAGUUAUAGAUAUAUAGAAAUAGAAUAUAGGAAUAAC